UACGGAGGGGGCUAGCGUUGUUCGGAAUUACUGGGCGUAAAGCGCACGUAGGCGGCUUUGUAAGUCAGAGGUGAAAGCCUGGAGCUUAACUCCAGAACUGCCUUUGAGACUGCAUCGCUCGAAUCCGGGAGAGGUGAGUGGAAUUCCGGGUGUAGAGGUGAAAUUCGUAGAUAUUCGGAAGAACCCCAGUGGCGAAGGCGGCUCACUGGACCGGCAUUGACGCUGAGGUGCGAAAGCGUGGGGAGCAAACAG
rnacentral:rRNA from 1 species